rnacentral:rRNA from 1 species
GGACCUGACUGCUAUCGGAUUAAUACUAAGCCAUGCGAGUUUUUGUAGUAAUACAAGGCAUACGGCUCAGUAACACGUAGUCAACCUACCCUAUGGACGAGGAUAAUCUCGGGAAACUGAGCAUAAUACUCGAUAGAUCAUAAUGCCUGGAGAAGGUUUAUGGUGAAAAUGAUUCGUUCGCCAUAUAGGAUGGGACUGCGGCCUAUCAGCUUGUUGGUGAGGUAAUGGCCCACCAAGGCGAUUACAGGUACGGGCUCUGAGAGGAGAAGCCCGGAGAUGGGUACUGAGACACGGACCCAGGCCCUAUGGGGCGCAGCAGGCGAGAAAACUUUGCAAUGUGCGAAAGCACGACAAGGUUAGUCCGAGUGAUUUCUGCUAAAGAGAUCUUUUGCAAGUUCUAAAACCACUAGUGAAUAAGGGGUGGGCAAGUUCUGGUGU